rnacentral:rRNA from 1 species
AUUGAACGCUGGCGGCAGGCCUAACACAUGCAAGUCGAACGAGUGGCGGACGGGUGAGUAAUGUCUGGGAAACUGCCCGAUGGAGGGGGAUAACUACUGGAAACGGUAGCUAAUACCGCAUACCAUCGGAUGUGCCCAGAUGGGAUUAGCUAGUAGGUGGGGUAAUGGCUCACCUAGGCGACGAUCCCUAGCUGGUCUGAGAGGAUGACCAGCCACACUGAGACUGAGACACGGUCCAGACUCCUACGGGAGGCAGCAGUGGGGAAUAUUGCACAAUGGGCGCAAGCCUGAUGCAGCCAUGCCGCGUGUAUGAAGAAGGCCUUCGGGUUGUAAAGUACUUUCAGCGAGGAGGCGUUACCCGCAGAAGAAGCACCGGCUAACUCCGUGCCAGCAGCCGCGGUAAUUC